rnacentral:piRNA from 1 species
UCCUAUGAGAAUAAGUAUCCUAUGAGAAUA